AUUGAACGCUGGCGGCAGGCCUAACACAUGCAAGUCGAGCGGAUGAAGGGAGCUUGCUCCUGGAUUCAGCGGCGGACGGGUGAGUAAUGCCUAGGAAUCUGCCUGGUAGUGUGGGAUAACGUCCGGAAACGGGCGCUAAUACCGCAUACGUCCUGAGGGAGAAAGUGGGGGAUCUUCGGACCUCACGCUAUCAGAUGAGCCUAGGUCGGAUUAGCUAGUUGGUGGGGUAAAGGCCUACCAAGGCGACGAUCCGUAACUGGUCUGAGAGGAUGAUCAGUCACACUGGAACUGAGACACGGUCCAGACUCCUACGGGAGGCAGCAGUGGGGAAUAUUGGACAAAGGGCGAAAGCCUGAUCCAGCCAUGCCGCGUGUGUGAAGAAGGUCUUCGGAUUGUAAAGCACUUUAAGUUGGGAGGAGGGGCAGUAAGUUAAUACCUUGCUGUUUUGACGUUACCAACAGAAUAAGCACCGGCUAACUUCGUG
rnacentral:rRNA from 1 species